CUGGUAUCAUCUAACACAAACCAGUAUCAAAAUGUGUUGUUAUCUUAUUUCCUAAGUUCUAUUAUCUCCUCGCCAUUUUUCUUCUGAUAGAUCCAUAAAUUCCUUCCUCUCUUACAACCUUUUUGGCCUUUCUCUUCUCUCACCAACACAUAAAUGGCAUCUUCUUCUAUGGGUUACUUAUAAAUGUUGAUUCCGUUUUAUGGUAGAUGUGUAAUUCACGUGUUUUUAUUUUGAAGAUACCACCAAGAGAGUGCUUGCUCCAAUCUUCAGUUGUAUUGUGCUUGAUUAUAAGAGGAGGAUGAUGUCGUUAAAGUCCUUGUGGUGGCACUCAAAAGUUUAAUGGUUGUUUUGCUUUGGUAGUUUGAACAUAAUCUUCUUGCAAUUUAGGUG
rnacentral:lncRNA from 1 species